rnacentral:rRNA from 1 species
UGGGGAAUAUUGCGCAAUGGGCGAAAGCCUGACGCAGCGACGCCGCGUGAGGGAUGAAGGUCUUCGGAUCGUAAACCUCUGUCAGCAGGGAAGAACGGUCACUGUGCUAAUCAGCAGUGAAUUGACGGUACCUGCAAAGGAAGCACCGGCUAACUCCGUGCCAGCAGCCGCGGUAAUACGGAGGGUGCGAGCGUUAAUCGGAAUUACUGGGCGUAAAGCGCUCGUAGGCGGUAUGUCAAGUCAAGGGUGAAAUCCCCGCGCUCAACGUGGGAACUGCCUUUGAAACUGGCAAACUGGAGUGUG